AUUGAACGCUGGCGGUAUGCUUAACACAUGCAAGUCGAACGGUAGCAGGCCUUCGGGCGCUGACGAGUGGCGGACGGGUGAGUAACGCGUAGGAAUCUGCCUGGUAGUGGGGGACAACUUAUGGAAACGUAAGCUAAUACCGCAUACGCCCUACGGGGGAAAGCAGGGGAUCUUCGGACCUUGCGCUAUCAGAUGAGCCUGCGUUGGAUUAGCUAGAUGGUAGGGUAAAGGCCUACCAUGGCGACGAUCCAUAGCUGGUCUGAGAGGACGAUCAGCCACACUGGGACUGAGACGCGGCCCAGAGUCCUACGGGAGGCAGCAGUGGUGAAUAUUGGACAAUGGGCGAAAGCCUGAUCAAGCAAGACCGCGUGUGUGAAGAAGGCCUGAGGGUUGUAAAGCACUUUCAAUAGGAAGGAAUACCUAUCGGUUAAUACCCGGUAGACUGACAUUACCUAUACAAGAAGCACCGGCUAACACCGUGCCAGCCGCCGCCGUAACAC
rnacentral:rRNA from 1 species